rnacentral:rRNA from 1 species
GGGCCCGCACAAGCAGUGGAGUAUGUGGUUUAAUUCGAAGCAACGCGAAGAACCUUACCAGGGUUUGACAUCUACCGAACCCCGUGGAGACACGGGGGUGCUUUUCGGAGAACGGUAAGACAGGUGGUGCAUGGUUGUCGUCAGCUCGUGUCGUGAGAUGUUGGGUUAAGUCCCGCAACGAGCGCAACCCUUAUGUUUAGUUGAUACGUUAAGAUCACUCUAUACAGACUGCCGUUGACAAAACGGAGGAAGGUGGGGACGACGUCAAAUCAUCAUGCCCUUUAUGUCCUGGGCUACACACGUACUACAAUGGCGGCCAUACAACGGGAAGCGAAGGCGCGAGCCGGAGCAAAUCCUUUAAAAGCCGCCUCAGUUCAGAUCGCAGGCUGCAACCCGCCUGCGUGAAGUCGGAAUUGCUAGUAAUCGCGGAUCAGCAUGCCGCGGUGAAUACGUUCCCGGGCCUU